rnacentral:lncRNA from 1 species
CGUUUCCUAUUUUUAUUUUUUUAGUUUAUUUUAUAAGUAAUUAUAUUUUAACUUUUUAUUUUCAAUUAAUUUUGUUACGUUUGUUUUAAUUUUUUGUUUUAUUAGUUUAUUGUAUUUAUAAUUAAUUUAUAAAGUAUUUAAAACUAAUAAAAUAAAAUCUUAAAAUAUAAAUCUUAAAAAAAUAAAACUAAUAAAAACAAAUCUUAAAAAAUAAAACUAAUAAAAACAAAUCCUAAAAAAUAAACUAAUAAAAACAAAUCUUAAAAAAUAAAAUUAAUAAAAACAAAUCUUAAAAAAUAAAACUAACAAAAACAUAAUAUAAUCUAAAAACGCUUAAACGGAUCUGGGAAUCCGUCAACGGAUGUCAACAUCCGUUUAAGGAUAAACGGAAGUCGCCAUUCGUUUUAACGGUUUUACGAAAGUAUUACUAACCUGGACUCCAAGAGGAUCGCUGCUGAGGUUGGAUAGAACACCACCACACCAAUGUUGAGGUUGGAUAGAACACCACCACAUCAAUGUAAUGCAGAGAUAUAAUAAUUUAAGGACAAAUUCUUUCAGAACAAAUCGAUAUCUCAAUUAUCACUUGAAAUACAAGAAGAAUGGGAGAAAGAAUUUCUAGAAAAAUAGAACAAAGAAUUUGUGGGAAGAAAGCGUAAAGAUAAAAGCAUGAACAUAAAAAAAAAAAAGAAUAAAUAGGUUAUGUGGGGGUGAGAGAAUAAAAUUAUAAAAUUGUAUUUCUAAAUAUAAAUUUUCACUAAAGGAUAAAAUUGGAAUAGAAAAAAUAGAGGAAAGGGUAAAAAUAGAAUGGGGUGAGGGUUGGAAUUGGGGAGGUGCAGGGAGUAACCCCUCAUCAAUAUUGUAUUUAACAUGCUAUGGACAAGGUUAAAAC